rnacentral:tmRNA from 1 species
GGGGACGUUACGGAUUCGACAGGAAUAGGUCGAGCUUAGGUUGCGAGCCGAGCGGUCCACUCGUAAAACGGCCACGCCAAUAAUAACUGGCAAUAACGAAGACAACCUCGCAGUAGCUGCAUAAGCAGCCUGCGGAUCCUUCCCUUCAUCUCCCACGUGAAGGCUUUGAAGGGUCUCACUAACUAGUGGGAUACGCUGUCCGGCCACCGUCUGAGGCCGGCAGAAGAGACUAAUCAGACUAGCCGCACGGAAGCCGGUCACUGGGCUGAAGUGACGGCGAAUGAUAAUACAGUGACUACGCUCGUAGAGGCCUAAGUGGCGAUGUUCUUGGACGCGGGUUCGACUCCCGCCGUCUCCACCA